CGGGCCUACGGGGGGCAGCAGUGGGGAAUAUUGCACAAUGGGGGGAACCCUGAUGCAGCGACGCCGCGUGGGUGAAGGAGUAUUUCGGUAUGUAAAGCCCUAUCAGCAGGGAAGAACAAUGACGGUACCUGACUAAGAAGCACCGGCUAAAUACGUGCCAGCAGCCGCGGUAAUACGUAGGGGGCAAGCGUUAUCCGGAUUUACUGGGUGUAAAGGGAGCGUAGACGGCAUAGCAAGUCUGAUGUGAAAGAUCGGGGCUCAACCCCGGGCCUGCAUUGGAAACUGUUAAGCUGGAGUACAGGAGG
rnacentral:rRNA from 1 species